CACGGCACUAUGACUCUACAUUAUUAUCUUUGCACACGAUAUUAUGUAUUUGUAUAUAAAGGCAGAUAUACUUUAAUCUGUAUUUAGUUAUCAGAAACAAGUUAUUCGUCAUAGUUGACAGACAAAUCGACACCAUUUAAGUAUAUCCGUUUCUAUUACAAUAAUUAUCUACAACGAAAAUGCCGUGCUGCAAAGUAACAAUCAAUAAAACCGGUAGCUGCGGCAUGAAGUGUGACAAGUCGGGUUGCUUUUGUAUUUCAUCAGAAGGCAAGAACUGUAUCUGUGUGUGUCUCGAUGAAAAAGAUAACAUCGUUCGAUGCGACGAUUGUAGAUGUGACAGCUGUAGCUGCAAUUGUGACAAAAGUAGGUGCGUCUGUAUUCCUACUGAAGGAGCAACAUGUAUUUGUGUAUGCUGCGACGGGGCAACCAUCAAGCGUUGCGAUGAUUGUGCUUGCUCAUCAGAUUGUGGAUCAGACUCUAAGAAGUGCGACAAGAAUGGUUGCGAGUGUAUCGCAACUGAUGGAAAGGCGUGUAUUUGCGUUUGUCUUGACACCAAGGGCAACGUUGUUCGCUGCGACGACUGUGAGUGUGAGAAAUCUUCCAUCAAAUGCAAUAAGUCCGGAUGUGUUUGCAUUCCAACUGACGGAAAAAGUUGCGUUUGUGUAUGCCGCGAUGGGGAAACUAUCAAGCGUUGCGAUGAUUGUGCUUGCUCAUCAGAUUGUAGAAAAGACUGAAGAGUGUAACGUACAAAAUUUAAAAUUACAAGCUACCAGUAUUAUAAAACAAUUUGUAAUGGUUAUAAAGGCCUCUGGUAGCAUAAACAUUUUAAGAAAUUAUCCUUAUAGAAAAAUAAUUAAAGAAUAUAAAAAAAAUGUAUAUUUUUGCAUGCUAGUUCUGUUUUGCAUUGCGUAUUUCUAGCAUUAAGUAAAUAACAUUAAGAUGGUUGUAGAAAAAUAUAUUAUGUUAACAAUUAUG